rnacentral:tRNA from 3 species
GGGGCGGUAGCUCAGAGGGAGAGCACCCGCCUUGCAAGCGGGAGGUCCGGGGUUCAAGUCCCCGCCGCUCCACCA